GACGAACGCUGGCGGCGUGCCUAAUACAUGCAAGUAGAACGCGGUCGCGAAAGGGUGAGUAACGUGUAGGUAACCGCCUCAGAGAGGGGGGUAACUAUUGGAAACGAUAGCUAAUACCGCAUACUGUGAGAUGGACCAGCGUUGUAUUAGCUAGGUGGUGAGGUAAAGGCUCACCAAGGCGACGAUACAUAACCGACCGGGGAGGGUGGUCGGCCACACUGGGAGUGAGACCCGGCCCAGAGUGCCACGGAAGGCAGCAGUAGGGAAUCGGCGGCAAGGGACGGAAGUCUGACCGAGCAAGGCCGCGUGAGGGAAGAAGGUCGUCGGAUCGGAAAGCUCUGUUUUUAGAGUAGCGGUAACUAACCAGAAAGGAACGGCUAACUACGUGCCAGCAGCCGCGGUAAUUC
rnacentral:rRNA from 1 species